GUGGAAAGCGCUGACCUGGUGAGGUUCCCAGAAGGCUUCUGCUGCCCGUCCAACCAACCGGCAAAUGGCAAUGCAUGCAUGAAACGGAAAUUUCUUGCAGAAAACCACCUCGUUGACCUGUGCUGCAGCUAGCCCCAAAGAGAGACUGUCCUACAAGGAUUCACAGACUGGGGAGAAAUUGCUGCAGAAAUAGCCAUAUGGGACUGCUUCUGGGCUACAUCCUUCCAACAACCUUCCUGACUCACUCCUGUCUUGAGAA
rnacentral:lncRNA from 1 species